rnacentral:rRNA from 1 species
GACGAACGCUGGCGGCGUGCUUAACACAUGCAAGUCGAGCGGUAAGGCCCUUUCGGGGGUACACGAGCGGCGAACGGGUGAGUAACACGUGGGUGACCUGCCCUCAGCUCUGGGAUAAGCCCGGGAAACUGGGUCUAAUACCGGAUAUGACUCCAUGACGCAUGUUGUGGGGUGGAAAGCCUUGUGCGGCUAGGGAUGGGCCCGCGGCCUAUCAGCUUGUUGGUGGGGUGAUGGCCUACCAAGGCGACGACGGGUAGCCGGCCUGAGAGGGCGACCGGCCACACUGGGACUGAGACACGGCCCAGGACUCCUACGGGAGGCAGCAGUGGGGAAUCUUGCGCAAUGGGCGAAAGCCUGACGCAGCGACGCCGCGUGAGGGAUGAC